rnacentral:misc_RNA from 1 species
AACGGUCUAUACCUGCGGUACCUGCGGAGGGAUCAUUAACGCGCCGUGGAGGUUGCCUUUAAACAGGUCUGACCUUCCACCUGGCCACCCUUGUUUAUCUUUAACCUGUUGCUUUGGUGGGCCCGCUGCAAGGCCGCUGGAGAAUUUAAAAGUUUUCUGGCCCGUGCCCACCAAAGUCCUAGUGCACUCUUUGUUAAUUUUCUGCUGUCUGAGCAUUAAAAGAAACAAUUUUUAAAACUU